GUACUUGCUUUGGCAGUACAUAUACUAAAAUUGGGACGAUACUGAAAUUUAGCAUGGCCCCUGCACAAGGAUGACAUGCAAAUUCAUGAAGCAUUCCAUAUUUAA